CUUGCUCUUCGGCGGUUAGCGGCGGACGGGUGAGUAACACGUAGGCAACCUGCCUGUACGACUGGGAUAACUCCGGGAAACCGGAGCUAAUACCGGAUACGUUUUUCAGACCGCAUGGUCUGAAAGAGAAAGACCUUUGGUCACGUACAGAUGGGCCUGCGGCGCAUUAGCUAGUUGGUGGGGUAACGGCCUACCAAGGCGACGAUGCGUAGCCGACCUGAGAGGGUGAUCGGCCACACUGGGACUGAGACACGGCCCAGACUCCUACGGGAGGCAGCAGUAGGGAAUCUUCCGCAAUGGACGAAAGUCUGACGGAGCAACGCCGCGUGAACGAUGAAGGUUUUCGGAUCGUAAAGUUCUGUUGUUAGGGAAGAACCGCCGGGAUGACCUCCCGGUCUGACGGUACCUAACGAGAAAGCCCCGGCUAACUACGUGCCAGCAGCCGCGGUAAUACGUAGGGGGCAAGCGUUGUCCGGAAUUAUUGGGCGUAAAGCGCGCGCAGGCGGCUUCUUAAGUCAGGUGUGAAAGCCCACGGCUCAACCGUGGAGGGCCACUUGAAACUGGGAGGCUUGAGUGCAGGAGAGGAGAGCGGAAUUCCACGUGUAGCGGUGAAAUGCGUAGAGAUGUGGAGGAACACCCGUGGCGAAGGCGGCUCUCUGGCCUGUAACUGACGCUG
rnacentral:rRNA from 1 species